AGAAUCAACGCUGGCGGCGCGCCUAACACAUGCAAGUCGAACGAGAAAGUGGAGCAAUCCAUGAGUACAGUGGCGUACGGGUGAGUAACACGUGGGUAAUCUACCCUUUGGUGGGGAAUAACUUUGGGAAACCGAAGCUAAUACCGCAUAAUCCUGAGAAGGAAAAGCAGCAAUGCGCCGAAGGAGGAGCCCGCGGCCGAUUAGCUAGUUGGUAGGGUAAUGGCCUACCAAGGCAAAGAUCGGUAGCCGGCCUGAGAGGGCACACGGCCACACUGGCACUGAAACACGGGCCAGACUCCUACGGGAGGCAGCAGUGGGGAAUCUUGCACAAUGGGGGAAACCCUGAUGCAGCGACGCCGCGUGAGCGAUGAAGCCCUUCGGGGUGUAAAGCUCUUUCGGCAGGGAAGAUUAUGACGGUACCUGCAGAAGCAGCUGCGGCUAACUCGCGCCAGCAGCCGC
rnacentral:rRNA from 1 species